AGAGCGAACGCUGGCGGCGUGCUUAACACAUGCAAGUCGAACGCGCAGCAUUCUGUAGCAAUACAGGGUGUGGGCGCGUGGCGAACGGGUGCGUAACACGUGGAUAACCUUCCUUGAGGUGGGGAAUAACCCAGUGAAAAUUGGGCUAAUACCGCAUAACAUCGCGAUGGCACAUGCUGAUGCGAUCAAAGGCGCAAGUCGCCACAAGAGGGAUCCGCGGCCGAUUAGCUUGUUGGCGAGGUAAUGGCUCACCAAGGCAAUGAUCGGUAGCCGGACUGAGAGGUUGGCCGGCCACACUGGAACUGAGACACGGUCCAGACUCCUACGGGAGGCAGCAGUGGGGAAUCUUGCACAAUGGACGAAAGUCUGAUGCAGCAACGCCGCGUGGGGAUGAAGCUUCUCGGAGUGUAAACCCCUUUCAGCAGGGACGAUUGUGACGGUACCUGCAGAAGAGCCCCGGCAACUACGUG
rnacentral:rRNA from 1 species